rnacentral:tmRNA from 1 species
GGGGCCGACAGGUUUUGACAGCAAUAAGUUCGGUGAGGUAAGCAUGUCGGGUGUUGGAAGAAUCAUCCGUAACCAAAUUUUCCACUUUUUAACAGGCGAAUCAAACUUCGCGCUCGCAGCCUAAUUUAGAAUUAGACUGUAGCUGUCUCUGCUGCAACAGUGUCCUACAGUGCAGCUUUAGAGGCAUCACCAGGUAGGAAUAAGCCAACGGUUUUCUCGGCCUACGGACGAAAAUUUCAGAGGAUAAGAAUCAGCUUGGUCGUCUCUUGCCGGGCUGGUUUCGAAAAUUAAUUUGAGAAUAAACAUGUAGAAGGCCCACAGGUCUGUUGUUUGGACGAGGGUUCGAAUCCCUCCG